rnacentral:lncRNA from 1 species
CUGCAAUGGCCCAGCUUAAGCGGCGGGUUGGCAGCGGAGCUUUUCUUGCGCUGGCUUCCGCGCGCCCUAUUCUGUGCCCUGCCCUGACCUCAGCCUGGUUCCUUCCUCAGCCGCUCUGCCCACCACCCUCCAGAACUCCUUUACCACUCCCUCCUUUACCAGCUACACUUUCUCGUUCUUCCCCCAUUGAUCUGAUUUUAGCGACUUGGGGCUCUGCCUUAUUGCCGUGAGCCGAUGCUCUCUGGGACUCGCUGAGUUAAUCCUCCUAUCAGUCGGUCCACUUGACAGGAUCCUGCCACGUGGCUGAAGAGACAGGACAUGUACAUAAAAAGAUAACUAAUGGCCUGACUGCAGCCUGUUGCGGAUGAGUGAUACGGUCCUGCGGGCUGCGGCAGUUCAGAGACGAAGACAGACGACUGCAGGGUGAGGCAGCUGCUCCUCAGGUGCCUACAGGAGCUUGUUAGGGUAAGGACAGAAGACUUCAGAGCAAAGAGGGAAGCUGUGAUGCACGCUUUAUAUCACGUGAUAGAAAAUUCCCAGGUGUCGUGCACAUUUGCCAUUUUUUGCAACCCAAUGACCACUUCUCCUUCUGUUAAUAGUACUCCGAAUAUCUUUUGGCACACCACUGCUCUCCCAUUCUCAGUCCAUGAGGGACUGAUCGGCAUAGGACCCAGGCCUGAUCAUCCUCCUGGCCACAUGAUCCACGUCGAGCCAAGCUUAGUGUAUGCCAGCUGUGAAAUGCUGGAUUUGAACCUGAUGAGACUCUGGAGCUGCUGGGGACCAGCAUUUAGAGACUGAGGGUGAGGACAGUAUAGCAGAAGGAGAGCUCAGAGAUGGAGAGAAAUCACAUGCUGACAUUACACUUGAGCCCCUGAAACCAGCUAUAUCUGAAACAGCACCUACCCUUGGACUUCUCAGGAACAUGAG